GACGAACGCUGGCGGCGUGCUUAACACAUGCAAGUCGUACGGUAAGGCCCUUUCUUGGGUACGCGAGUGGCUAACGGGUGGGUAACUCGUGAGUAACCUGCCUGCAACUUAGGGUGAACUCUAGGAAACUGGUUCGAGUACUUGAUGUGUGCGCGUUCUGCAUGGUUGGGGGUGGAAAGCUCCGGCGGUUGGGGAGGGACUCGCGGCCUAUCAGCUUGUUGGUGGGGUAGUGGCCUACCAAGGCGGCGACGGGUAGCCGGCCGGAGAGGGUGAACGGCCACAUUGGGACUGAGAUACGGGCCAGACUCCCACGGGAGGCAGGCGGGGGGAAUAUUGCAAAAUGGGCGCAAGCCCGAUGCAGCAAAGCCGCGUGCGGGAUGACGGCCUUCGGGUUGUAAACCGCUUUCAGCAGGGAAGAAGCUUUUUGUGACGGUACCUGCAGAAGAAGCACCGGCUAACUACGUG
rnacentral:rRNA from 1 species